rnacentral:rRNA from 1 species
AUCUCAAAUCAGGUAGGACCCC